UACGAAGGGGGCUAGCGUUGCUCGGAAUCACUGGGCGUAAAGCGCACGUAGGCGGCUUCUUAAGUCAGGGGUGAAAUCCUGGAGCUCAACUCCAGAACUGCCUUUGAUACUGAGGAGCUUGAGUCCGGGAGAGGUGAGUGGAACUGCGAGUGUAGAGGUGAAAUUCGUAGAUAUUCGCAAGAACACCAGAGGCGAAGGCGGCUCACUGGCCCGGUACUGACGCUGAGGUGCGAAAGCGUGGGGAGCAAACAGG
rnacentral:rRNA from 1 species